GGGUUGCUAACUCAAC
rnacentral:tRNA from 9 species